AGGUCAGGGGAAGAACCUCAAUGGCGUCUGCCAGGGUCUGUGUCAGCAUGCCUGGACCAGGUCAGAACAAUGGACCCCACCAACAUCUCAGUCUCUGGAGAGGUCCCUCCUCUCACCAAGACGCCCCUGGAGUCCCCCAGACAAAAGCGGUUUUAAAAUACUGAAGUGUUGUGUUGCAUAAAGAAGGAAGGUUUGAAGAUAUGAGAGAGGUAUAAGAUACGAGACAGCUUGAGUCUUUUAAGGAGAUGAAAGAGAAUUAAGACCCAAAGCACAGGUAGAGGGACUGCUUUCAUUUUUAAAGAUAGAUGGUUCCUGGUACCAGUUUGACCUAAGCUCAUUGUGCAGUUGUAUACCAGCCCACAAUGUCUCCCCCGAAUUGAAGAGAACUCUGUAUCGCUUUACUUGGUGCUAGGACUAUUUUGGUUGCUGUCAACUUUGAGAGAUUGAAUUCAACUGAGACAGAGCUCAAUCUGAGUCUAUUGCCUCAAGGAUUCAGAUAAUUUAUUACUCUGCAUACAAGUCUCUAGGACCUUGGGGUUUGACUUGAUGCCCUAAGGCAAAAUGAUCUUGCCCUCUCCA
rnacentral:lncRNA from 1 species